UACGGAGGAUGCAAGCGUUAUCCGGAAUUAUUGGGCGUAAAGCGUCCGUAGGUGGCUAAUCAAGUCUGCUGUCAAAGCGUGGAGCUUAACUCCAUACCGGCGGUGGAAACUGAUGAGCUAGAGUGCGAUAGGGGUAGCAGGAAUUCCCGGUGUAGCGGUGAAAUGCGUAGAGCUCGGGAAGAACAUCGGUGGCGAAAGCGCUCUACUGGACUGCAACUGACACUCAGGGACGAAAGCUAGGGGAGCGAAUGGG
rnacentral:rRNA from 1 species